rnacentral:rRNA from 1 species
UACGUAGGGUGCGAGCGUUGUCCGGAAUUAUUGGGCGUAAAGAGCUUGUAGGCGGUCUGUCGCGUCUGCUGUGAAAAUCCGGGGCUCAACCCCGGGCCUGCAGUCGAUACGGGCAAACUAGAGUUCGGCAGGGGAGACUGGAAUUCCAGGUGUAGCGGUGAAAUGCGUAGAUAUCUGGAGGAACACCGGUGGCGAAGGCGGCAUCCUGGACCGGUAUUGACGCUGAGGCGCGAAAGCUAGGGGAGCAAACGGGG